UAACGUGAGCGUCCUAAGGUAGCGCGAUAAUUUGCUUUUCAAUUGAAGGAUGGUAUGAAAGGGUUAACGAAGAAGGUGCUGUGUCUAAAAAUUCAAUUUAAACUAACUUUAAGGUGAAGAGGCCUUUAUGUAAAAGAAGGACGACAAGACCCUAUGAAGCUUUAUCUUAAUUGGAGCUCUCAGGCUCUUAUACGAUUUUGAUGGGAGAUCAGUAGAAAGAAGUCUUCUACUAUCAUAUUAAUCUUACUAGUAUUUCCUAACCUUAUAUGUGUGGCUAGCUACUCUAGGGAUAACAGCGCAAUUUCUCCCGAAAGAUGGUAUUGGAGGGGAAGAUUGCGACCUCGAUGUUGGCUUUAGAUAUCCUAGAGGCGUAGAAGCUUCU
rnacentral:rRNA from 1 species